CUCCGUAGGGUGAACCUGCGGAGGGAUCAUUAC
rnacentral:rRNA from 1 species